GUGUAUUAGAUACCCGGGUAGUCCACGCCCUAAACGAUGAAUACUCGAUGUUGGCGAUAUACGGUCAGCGUCUAAGCGAAAGCGUUAAGUAUUCCACCUGGGGAGUACGCCCGCAAGGGUGAAACUCAAAGGAAUUGACGGGGGCCCGCACAAGCGGAGGAGCAUGUGGUUUAAUUCGAUGAUACGCGAGGAACCUUACCCGGGCUUGAAAGUUAGUGAAUAGAGCAGAGACGCUCUAGUCCUUCGGGACACGAAACUAGGUGC
rnacentral:rRNA from 1 species